rnacentral:rRNA from 1 species
UACGUAGGGUGCGAGCGUUGUCCGGAAUUAUUGGGCGUAAAGAGCUCGUAGGCGGCUUGUCGCGUCGGAUGUGAAAGCCCGGGGCUUAACUCCGGGUCUGCAUUCGAUACGGGCAGGCUAGAGUGUGGUAGGGGAGAUCGGAAUUCCUGGUGUAGCGGUGAAAUGCGCAGAUAUCAGGAGGAACACCGGUGGCGAAGGCGGAUCUCUGGGCCAUUACUGACGCUGAGAGCUGAAGACGUGGGGAGCAAACAGG